rnacentral:rRNA from 1 species
AUUGAACGCUGGCGGCAUGCCUUACACAUGCAAGUCGAGCGGCAGCGCGGGGGCAACCCUGGCGGCGAGCGGCGAACGGGUGAGUAACUACAUCGGAACGUGUCCAGUAGCGGGGGAUAACCUGUCGAAAGAUAGGCUAAUACCGCGUACGACCUACGGGUGAAAGCGGGGACCGCAAGGCCUCGCACUAUUGGAGCGGCCGAUGUCGGAUUAGCUAGUUGGCGGGGUAACGCCCACAAGGCGACGAUCCGUAGCUGGUCUGAGAGGACGACCAGCCACACUGGAACUGAGACACGGUCCAGGACUCCUACGGGAGGCAGCAGUGGGGAAUUUUGGACAAUGGGCGCAAGCCUGAUCCAGCCAUGCCGCG